rnacentral:misc_RNA from 1 species
AAUUUAUAAUAAGAUAUAAUUAUAACCAAUACUCUGACAUACUUUCAGUUUAUAUUCAAUACUUUAUGAGUCAUUCGUAUAGGCGUACAUCAUUCUCUGAUGCACUGUAGAAUGUUGCUCUUUACAUAAAGCGAUAAUAGAAACAGAUAAAGAUGAGCUAUUACAGAUGCUUUGCCACUAUCUAAGCGUUAUUAAAAGUAUAUUUUGUCUUUGUUUAAAUUAAAAUUUCUUUAACAAAGGAAAAUUUUUGGCUCUUAAACAUGAAUGAUAAAACCUCAGAAGAUGUUCUAAUUUUCAAAUUUAAAUUUUUCAUAAAUGAAUUACACACUCACCAAAUAAAAAUUAGUCUUUAGUAACUGUGGUUGAAUUUUUCUUGCAAUACUGAAUGUUCUUCUUAAUGAGAUUGUUAGAAGCAUGAUGGAUGUUUAGUCUUUGUCAAUUUAGAUAGUUCUUCUGACUUUUCUCUCCAGAAAAUGAAAUUUUUUUACUGAUGGUGCUUGAACGGCCUUAUUUCUAUCAGCCUACUUCCUUAAGUUAAACCGAUAUCGGCUAAUUCAUAAUAUAUCUCGAUUAUCUUAUUUUUCCUUGUAAAAACCGGCAAUUGGUUCGACGAUUAGGACACGUGACAUCAGCUGAUCGAUAGUAGCGCCCUCUGUUACAAACUGGACAUUGUAUGGAAAUCAGAAUUUAGUUCAUUGAACUAUGUUUGUAAUUUCUUUUGUUCUGAUUUAAGAUUUAGUUUAGUAGUAAAAUAACUCUAUUGUAACUUUAUUUUUAUCGAAAAGAUAAAAAAUUUCAAAUAUUUUCUUCGCAAGAUAAUACUUUUUAGAUAUUCUUGAUAUUUAUUUUCUUUUUUUGACUUUUCGUAAAUUUCCCCAAUUAUCACUCAAGAACACGAUGUUUCGCAUCUUCACUCAUCGAACCUUGGUUACCAAUACCACAUUACCUAGAAUUACAGUUCCUGUGAAAAUGCAGUAUAAACUGCAGAAAUCACAACAAAAACAAGAUGUAAAACGAUAUAGAGAACAUGAAACAAAUCAUCCAAAGGGUCAACCUAUUAUAACUUGUAAACGGAAACAAUUCAACCAUUACUAUGGGACAAGAUACCGACCUCUGAGCAUUAAAUGUCUAGCGUCUGCAGGUUGGAAACAUAAGAAAUCGUCCAGUGAUCAUUUUACUUUAAAUCCUUUUAGUUCUAAUCCUUCAUUUAACAAUGAUAGAACAUUUACCGAUUUGGAAAUAUUACCUGAUUUAGUGGAAACGUUAAAAGAUAUGAAUAUAAAGGAUCCAACAGCUGUACAAGCUAAGAUUAUACCCUAUUUUCUGAACGGGAAAAACGUGUUGUGUUCAGCAGAGACAGGAAGUGGGAAAACUUUAGCCUAUCUAAUUCCAAUAGUUCAAAACUUAUUAUACUCUCAAUACCAAAAAAGUGGAGAGACAAUACCUAAUCAACCUUCAGCAGUUAUCUUGGUUCCCAAUAGAGAAUUAGCUGAACAAGUUUAUAACGUUGCUUGUGAUCUGUGCAAACAUUCUGAUAUAAGGCCUCAUUACUUUGUUGGCGGUCGGAGUACAAAGAGAUUUAUAAACAAUCCAGAAUUAAAGAAAAUGGACAUAUUAAUUUCAACACCUGGAUCGCUAAGUAAAUUAUUGACUAACAAAAUAUAUAAUACAGAUAUGGUAAAGUAUGUAAUAAUCGAUGAAUGCGAUACCAUGAUGGAUGACAGCUUCAUGCAUUUAACAUCCCGAGUAUUAAGGAAGUUAAAUGUAGAAUCAUCUCUUCAUGAUGGAUUAGAAUUAGGUACUCAAAUAGGAUUGUUUAGUGCAACAAUACCUAAAGAUGUAAUUUCUACUCUACGUGGGCUAGUUGAUUUAGAAUCCCUUGAACGAAUACAAACUCCUGCAGUUCAUAAGUUGAUGCCACAUAUAUCACAGAAAUUUGAGAGAGUAAAGUCAUCAGAAAAAGAUGGUCUCUUAUUGAAAAGAUUACAUCAUAACGUUUUAAAAAGUACAGCCACUAUGGUAUUUUGUAAUACAUCAUCUACUUCUAGUUAUUUGAGCUAUCUAUUGGCCGAAAACAACAUUGCACACGAAAUGGUCAACGGUAAAAUGCCUCAACGUGUUCGAGAGGGACGUUAUAAUAGAUUUCAAAUGGGAGAAGUUGAGGUUUUAAUAGGAACGGAUAUACUUUCUCGCGGAUUGGAUACUUGCAGAACGCAACACGUAAUUAACUACAACUUUCCAAGUUUUCUGUCUGACUACAUUCAUCGAGCUGGAAGAGUAGGACGAAUUCAGAGCCAGGGAACAGGAUUUGUUCUUAACUACAUAUCGAAUAUUUGGGAAGUAGAUUUGGUGUGGAAGAUUGAAUUGGCAGCCCGAAAGGUUGGAAUAUUGGACAAUGUCGAUGCAAAUAUUAGAAAGCAGCUAAACAAAAUUAAUACUAAAGAAUCCUCAUUCAUAUGACCUUUAGCACAAACAACGAAGAAGCAAA